rnacentral:rRNA from 1 species
UACGUAGGGGGCAAGCGUUGUCCGGAAUCAUUGGGCGUAAAGAGCGUGUAGGCGGCUUGGUAAGUCCGCUGUGAAAGUCCAGGGCUCAACCCUGGAAUGCCGGUGGAAACUGUCAAGCUUGAGUCCGGAAGGGGCGAGUGGAAUUCCUGGUGUAGCGGUGAAAUGCGCAGAUAUCAGGAGGAACACCAAUGGCGAAGGCAGCUCGCUGGGACGGUACUGACGCUGAGACGCGAAAGCGUGGGGAGCAAACAGG